rnacentral:lncRNA from 1 species
GUGGGACUCCACAUACUAGCCCAACUCAAGCAGGGGAAGGAGAGGAAUACCAACUGAGCCAAUCAUUCCGGGGGACAGCAAGUGGGCUGCCAGCCAGCCUUCCUUGUGCGGCUGGGCCUGGGAACCCUGUGGGAUGUACACAGCUCAGGCUGGAGCUGGCUCUUCCUGAGACUCUGCUUCACCCCAUCUCCUGUUCUCUCUCUCCACUAGAAGAGGACCUAUUCCAUCAUUAGUGCAAUUCUGCAGCCCCACCCUGACCCACCUGAGACCUUGAAGGAGGAACUCGGCUAUACUCUCACUCCAGGUCAUGUUCAUGAGGCUGACAAAGACACUGAAAACUCUCCUGAGGUCACCAAUGCUGCCAAUCCAAGAAAGCAUUCAGGAUGUCACCACGGCCCUCCACAGCUGUAUCUCAGAUGAUACCCACCACAUUUGAUAUCUUUAAAUGGUUCCAAAGUCUAGCCCUGAUCUGAUGACAGAUGGUCACACACUCAUGAGGUUCCUGUAAACAGGACCAGGAUGGUCCUGACAGUGUUUUGUGGGUUUGCUUUGCUCUGAG